rnacentral:lncRNA from 1 species
GUUUAUCUACCACUUGAAAAUUCCCCAUACUAAGGAGACCCCAAGUCUGAUUCAUAUCCCUAUUGCUAACAUGCAGCUGUAUAGUACUUUAAAGGACUGGAACACUUUGCUCACAUCACCCUGCAAGAAAGAAAAAACAAGAAGGCUUCUGCUCUUGUAAUGCCGUGGGACAGUGCCAGAUCUCCUCGAUGAAGACACUGGACCCAAGAAGGGAAAAGACUUGCUCAGGGUCACACAGAUGAGGGGCAGUCAGGAUUUGGACCUGGGUCUUCUAGGAUCUAGGUUGGAAUUCUAUCCACCACGACCUUCUCCUGACUACUGAUUGAUUUCUGAACAAAGUGCAUGAAUGAACAUGUGCAAUAAAUAACUUCCAAGAAUGUGAAAAUAUUGACUG